CGUGGGCCUAGGAUCCUCCGAGCCAGGGUCUCCUUCCAUCCCCCAGGCUGGAGUACAGUGACAUAAUAUCAUCUCACUGCGGCCUCCACUUCCCAGGUUCAAGUGAUUCUUCUGCCUCAGCCUCUGAAGUAUCUGGGAUUAUAGACAAUCUAGUGGGUGUGAUUGAUGUCAAAUUUUGUUGAAGCAUUUUCUGUGUCAAUUGACAUGAUUAUAUGUUUUUUCUUCUUUAGCUUGUUAAUAUGGUGUAUUACAUUAAUUGAUUUUCAAAUAUUGAAACCUCCUUGAAUA
rnacentral:lncRNA from 10 species